UCCAUUUUCUUUUUUAAUUUUCUUCUUGGUAGGUGAGGAAGAGAUAAAGUGAGUGACGCCUGUGUGUGUGAGAGACGUGAGGUGAGUUUGUUGUGUGGGUGAGGGUGAGGGAUUCACGUGAGAGAGAGACGUGUUAAUGAGUGAGGUGUUUCCAACUUUUUCUCUUUUUCUUUUCUUAUUUUAUUUUUAUUAUCCAUGGAGAGAGACAAAUCUUUUUAUCAUUUUCCAUGUAACCGUUGAGAUAUGGAUUGGAAUGCCAGCUGUCCCUUAUUACAAGGAAUGAAAUGCAGAAAAUAUUAUUUUUGCAAACAAUUAUUAUUUAUUUAAGAAAAUACACUCAUAAAAUUUCUAAUAAAUAUUUUAA
rnacentral:lncRNA from 1 species